rnacentral:rRNA from 1 species
GAUGAACGCUGGCGGCGUGCCUAAUACAUGCAAGUCGGGCGAACUGAUUAGAAGCUUGCUUCUAUGACGUUAGCGGCGGACGGGUGAGUAACACGUGGGCAACCUGCCUGUAAGACUGGGAUAACUUCGGGAAACCGAAGCUAAUACCGGAUAGGAUCUUCUCCUUCAUGGGAGAUGAUUGAAAGAUGGUUUCGGCUAUCACUUACAGAUGGGCCCGCGGUGCCUUAGCUAGUUGGUAAGGUAAAGGCACACCAAGGCAACGAUGCAUAGCCCAACGGAGAGGGGGAUCGGCCACGCUGGGACUGGGACACGGCCCAGACACCUACGGGAGGCAGCAGUAGGGAAUCGUCCGCAAUGGACGAAAGUCUGACGGAGCAACGCCGCGUGAGUGAUGAAGGCUUUCGGGUCGUAAAACGCUGUUGUUAGGGAAGAACAAGUACAAGAGUAACUGCUUGUACCUUGACGGUACCUAACCAGAAAGCCACGGCUAACUACGUGCCAGCCGCCGCCGUAA